GAUCAAAGCUUUAUUCGAAAAUAUAUAGCAAGCGGGACUGCGACUGAACUCAAAAUUAGGGUUUCAGAGAUUUUGAGUGAGAGAGAUAUAGUUGAACGGAGGUAAUUUGUAGAAGAGAGAUGGCGCGGCCGAGGUGUUUCCUCGACAUUAGCAUCGGAGGUGAGUUGGAAGGGAGGAUAGUGGUGGAGCUGUAUAACGACAUCGUUCCCAAGACAGCCGAGAACUUCCGAGCUCUUUGCACUGGUGAGAAGGGUAUUGGCCCCAAUACUGGCGUCCCACUUCAUUACAAGGGAGUUCGUUUUCAUCGUGUUAUUAAGAGUUUCAUGACACAAGGUGGUGAUAUAUCUGCUGGAGAUGGUACAGGAGGAGAAUCAAUAUACGGAUUGAAGUUUGAAGAUGAGAAUUUUGAAUUGAAACAUGAAAGGAAGGGGAUGUUAUCGAUGGCUAAUUCUGGCCCUAAUACAAAUGGUUCUCAGUUCUUUAUAACUACGACACGUACUGCACAUCUCGAUGGGAAGCAUGUUGUGUUUGGGAAAGCUAUUAAAGGGAUGGGAGUAGUUCGUUCGAUUGAGCAUGCUCCUCUUGGUGAAGAUCAUUGCCCUGAAGUUGAUGUUAUUAUUGCUGAAUGUGGAGAAAUCCCUGAGGGGGGUGAUGAUGGAAUAGCCAAUUUCUUUAAUGAUGGUGAUAUGUUUCCUGAUUGGCCUGCUGAUAUUGACAAUUGUUCUGAUGAGCUUUCUUGGUGGAUAAACGCAGUUGACUCUAUAAAGAUAUUUGGCAAUGGACAUUUCAAGAAUCAAGACUAUAAGAUGGCUCUUCGAAAGUAUAGAAAGGCUUUACGUUAUUUGGAUGUAUCUUGGGAGAAGGGAGAAAUUGAUGAAGACAAGAGUUCAUCUUUGAGGGUAGUAAAAUCCCAGAUAUUUACGAAUAGUUCUGCUUGUAAAUUGAAAUUGGGAGAUUUGAAUGGUGCACUUUUAGACACGGAGUUCGCUAUGCGUGAUGAUGAGAAAAAUGUGAAGGCUUUGUUCCGUAGAGGCCAGGCACACAUGGCGCUAAAUGAUAUAGAUUCUGCAAUUGAAACUUUCAAAAGGGCUCUGGACCUGGAGCCAAAUGAUGCUGCAAUAAGAAAGGAAUUUGCAUCUGCAAAACUAAAGAUUACUAACAGAAAGGAACAGCAGAUGAAAGCAUACUCAAAGAUGUUCAAGUAGAGCAAAUGACAGUUAUACGGCCAUUUUUAGCUGGAGGAGUUAGGUAUAUGGUGGUUAUAUAUGAGAAGGGGGAUGAAGCAGGCAAAAGCUUAUCAAAAGUGUUAAAGUUUUGAACCAAAUUUUAAGCAGUUAGAAGAUAACCCAAAACCAUCUUUUUUGUGUUCUUUCAGUUGUUUGUUGUUUAAAGGUAAGGCUAAGGAUUUCCAAACAAUAAGACACGGGAACCUUUAUUACGUUGCGAGUAUAUGAAUUUGAAAAUUUUUGGUGCA